UCUAUGACCCAGCUGGUCACGUAUCAGUCCCCUCUCCCCCUCUCCUGAUGGCCCUGAAGGUCCUGUGCACCAGGCAGACGACUUCUCCUACUCCCUAUCGGCCUCAAGGUCCCUGGGCGCCAGGCCGACUGCUCUCCUCCUUACCGGCCUUGAAGGUCCCAGGCACCCGGCCAACCCGAUGGUGUUGAUGACCUUGUCUCAGAACAGGGAAGGCUCACAGCACGCAGAGCACCGCCCAUAAAAUCAAGCAGUUACAAGCCCCGAGCGGGACUUGGACCAGAACUGCUGCUGGAACACAAAAGCUGCGAUCCCCCGGUGGCCAGGGACACCGCCACCGUCUGCUUCCUCCGAGGACUGAAUACUGGAGCACAACUAUUCACGAUUAAAGCAGAAUUACAUCCUGGAGCUACCCCUCUGAAAAAUCAGGAAAUAUUAGUAACUGGAGUAAAUGGAGCUGUGAUUCCUUAUUCAAUUGCUAAGAUAAUAAACUAUACUUGGACGGAUUCUUUGGCCCGAACAAACUUGGAGUGCACCCAAGGCAUCAUCACUUUACCUUUGUGGAAACGUCAGCUCUAAGAAGAUGACCAUAACACCCACUGUAUUGUACUUACCCUUGUUUCUACCCUCUUCACCCCAGUUUCAAGAAUGGGGUGAUAAUCAUGUCACUACAUUAAUGAACAACAUUACUCAAAAGGGUAACAAAUCAAACUGUUGGUAUUGUCUAGAUCACCCUCAAUCUUCAGAUGCUAAUUUUAGGUGGGUAGCUGGACCUGCUCCUGAAAUAUUUUGCUACCAACCUAUGUUGGCAUACUCACUCCACAACCCUCCAAAUUAUCAAACUCAGCCUUUUAAGGCACAUUCUUAUAAGACCCCGUGGUGCACUAUAAUGCCCCUAAAUACAAAUUCAACCUGGGUGGGAAAAAAAAGCAAUUGCGAUUAUACCCUGGUCUACGAUUGGACAAAAACUCGUAUUUGGCUGGUACCCUAUAAAAAACCCAGAGUUCAUAAUGAAUCCAAUUUAAGAACCACAUGGAUCUGUAAAAACAAAGCAGCGGUUACAAAUAAUACUGCUUUAAAUAUUUUGCCACCCUGGAAGCUCACACGGACUGUUAAUGGCACAUUUUGCCAAAGAUACUAAAAUCCCACUGGUCCUAUUCUACAUUUUACAGAGUAAUGGUUCUUUAAGAACUGAUGACAGUUGGACCACCUGUAAUUGGAAUAACACACCUGGCUGUAUCUGUAUAUACACUAACCCUUUUCCCACCACUUGAAUAAGCCACACUUACCUGCUUACAUUUGAUCAUUCUGACAAUGAAAAAGAGGCUCAUUGAUGGUGUGAGGAAUGUUUCCCUAGAAAUUUUACAGUACCAAAUCAGUAUCCCACCAGCAUCUGGAUGGUUUUGGCUCUGUGGCACAAAUGCCUAUAAAAGUCUGCCACCACAACAGACAGGUAUUUGUACCAUAUAAUGUCUUGUUCCCUACGAAUUUCAAUUAAAAAAAUUAACUUCUACCUUUUUACACAACCAUUACCCUGUAUGCAAUAACUGUUGUGAUCAAUCCCUUGGUACAAAGAAUGAUGAAAUUCUGUCAAUUUAUGCAUGCAUUAUUUCCAAGUUUAAGUACUGAUGAGCCAGAAAGAGCUAUUGUAAAUAUUUCUGCUAUGCUUGAAAUUGUCCAAAAUGAUACUGUAGAUGCUUUAAAAAAAAUGUUUGCAAUUAGAAGUUAGUUUGCUUUCACAAUUAGCAAUUCAAAAUCAUUGGGCCUUAGAUUAUCUUUUAGCAUCACAGGGAGGUAUAUGUAUACUUUUAAACAUCACUUGUUUUUAUACUAAUGAAUCUAAACAAAUCAAAUAUGACAUAAGCAUCAUUCAAUGACAAGUUUGUACUUUUCACCAAAUAGCUCCUGUCAGAAGGUCUACCCGCUGACUGCUUUUGGCUGUGGUCCUGGCUACCUGACUUCGGAACAUGGGCCAGUCAAGUUUUGUUAAUAUUACCUCUGAUAACAGCUUCGGAAUUAUGUUCUUAUGUGCUAUAUGUUACUUUAAAUCCUUAUGCAUAUCAAUUGCUAAAAUCAAUGUUUUAUACUCUCCUCGCCCCUUUGAUGAACAGCCUUUAGAUAACACAUGGCCCACUGCUGCCCUGGAGUCCUCUUCAUGAAUGCAUUGCUAAGCUGUAGGCUGUGGGCAGGAGGUGACGGUACCACCACCGCUGGUGUCCUUCCCUGUUCAUGACGGUGUCAAGGGGUGGGGUGUGACCAGUACCCCUGCUCCCGACCUCGGUAACAAGCUUAGCAUAACUAACACCAUUUUGUAUGGCAAAUGGCCGUUCUCUAUGACCCAGCUGGUCACGUAUCAGUCCCCUCUCCCCCUCUCCUGAUGGCCCUGAAGGUCCUGUGCACCAGGCAGACGACUUCUCCUACUCCCUAUCGGCCUCAAGGUCCCUGGGCGCCAGGCCGACUGCUCUCCUCCUUACCGGCCUUGAAGGUCCCAGGCACCCGGCCAACCCGAUGGUGUUGAUGACCUUGUCUCAGAACAGGGAAGGCUCACAGCACGCAGAGCACCGCCCAUAAAAUCAAGCAGUUACAAGCCCCGAGCGGGACUUGGACCAGAACUGCUGCUGGAACACAAAAGCUGCGAUCCCCCAGUGGCCAGGGACACCGCCACCGUCUGCUUCCUCCGAGGACUGAGUGACUCAUAUUCUUUUAUAUGUUUCAAGCCCAGGUGAUGACUGUGAUACUGAUACCUCAAGCCAAGUGCUAAGAUUUGUCCCAAUCUGCAGAGGGUCCAGGCGAUGAGGCAGCAUAAGCUAAGCUGUGCUACAGAAUUCUGCGCUACGCUACUUAUAAAAUUGUGCUGCGCCGAUUCUGAUUAGAGAAAUCCUGUGCUACUCUGAUCCUAAAAUUCUACGCUAUGGUGAUUAUCAAAUUCUGUUAAAAUAAUAAAGCUUUAAU